UAGGGGAGCAUUCCAUCGGCGUUGAAUGUCUUCCGUGAGGAGGGCUGGAGCUUAUGGAAAAGCAAAUGUAGGUAUAAGUAACGAUAAGGCAGGCGAGAAACCUGCCCGCCGAAAGACUAAGGUUUCCUGAUCAACGCUAAUCGGAUCAGGGUAAGUCGGGCCCUAAGGCUAAGCCGUGUGGCGAUGCCGAUGGCAGAGACGGUCAAGAUUCCGUCACUGCCGUGCGGGGCGACGCGGGGACGCGGGAGUGACACCGCCGCCGUCCGACGGAAUGGACGGUUGAAGGGUGUAGGAGUCGAGGAGGUCAGGCAAAUCCGUCCUCCGAUCCGAACCUGAGAGUACGCCCUCCCCUUCUGGGGCGGGCGAUAGCGCGGGUAAUCAUGCCGCCGAGAAAAUCCGCUACGCACAACCCGUACGGCACCCGUACCGUAAACGGACACACGUGGUCGUGUAGAAUAUACUGAGGCGCUUGGGUGAAUCACG
rnacentral:rRNA from 16 species